rnacentral:rRNA from 1 species
GAUCCUGGCUCAGGAUGAACGCUGGCGGCGUGCUUAACACAUGCAAGUCGAGCGAAGCGCCAGAUCUGAUUUCUUCGGAUUGAAGUGAAGGAUGACUGAGCGGCGGACGGGUGAGUAACGCGUGGGGAACCUGCCCCAUACCGGGGGAUAACAGUUAGAAAUGACUGCUAAUACCGCAUAAGCGCACACGGAGGCAUCUCCGAGUGUGAAAAACUCCGGUGGUAUGGGAUGGACCCGCGUUGGAUUAGCCAGUUGGCGGGGUAACGGCCCACCAAAGCGACGAUCCAUAGCCGGCCUGAGAGGGCGACCGGCCACAUUGGGACUGAGACACGGCCCAAACUCCUACGGGAGGCAGCAGUGGGGAAUAUUGCACAAUGGGGGAAACCCUGAUGCAGCGACGCCGCGUGAGUGAAGAAGUAUUUCGGUAUGUAAAGCUCUAUCAGCAGGGAAGAAGACGACGGUACCUGACUAAGAAGCCCCGGCUAACUACGUGCCAGCCGCAGC